rnacentral:rRNA from 1 species
GCAAGUCAAACGAUCCUUGUGUUUACAUAAGGGUAGUGGCAAACGGGGUAGUAACAGGUAGGAACAUACCAUUGAGUCAGGAAUAACUAUGAGAAAUCAUAGCUAAUACCUGAUAGUCUCUACGGAGUAAAGAUUUAUCGCUCAAUGAAUGGCCUGCUUAGUAUCAGCUAGUUGGUAGUGUAAUGGACUACCAAGGCUAUGACGCUUAGGGGAGGUGAGAGCCUAACC